CUGGAAAUGAUGCACACCAUGAAAACAUGAUUGUAUUGUGAUGCUGUUUGUAUUCAUACUGUCUGAUCCAG